AUUGAACGCUGGCGGCAGGCCUAACACAUGCAAGUCGAACGAGUGGCGGACGGGUGAGUAAUGUCUGGGAAACUGCCUGAGGGAGGGGUAUAACUCAUGGCAACGGUAGCUCAUACCGCCUACCAUAGGAUGCUCCCAGAUAGGAUUAGCUAGUAGGUGGGGUAAAGGCUCACCUAGGCGACGAUCCCGAGCCGGUCUGAUAGGAUGACCGGCCACACUGGGACUGAGACACGGUCCAGACUCCUACGGGAGGCAGCAGUGGGGAAUGUUGGACAAGGGGCGCAAGCCUGAUACAGCCAUGCCGCAGGUAUGAAGGAGGCCUUCGGGGUAUAAAGUAAUUUCGUCGGGGAAGCGUUACCCGCAGAAGAAGCACCGGCUAACUCCGUGCCAGCCGCCGCGGUAAUUC
rnacentral:rRNA from 1 species